rnacentral:lncRNA from 1 species
CGGCUGUUAACAGAGGACCUGCGCAGCCAAGCCUUCAUCACAGCGAGCGUCGUCACGGCUUGCUUCCACUCGUCGAGCAUCGUAAACGCUCGCCAAGUAGGUGCCCAAGCUGGCGAGUGUGGCGCAUGCCUAGAAAAGUUAACUGUUUGUUCAGUUCCACUAAUUAGCGCUCGCUACGAUUGUUAUCUACAUUUCAAAAUUAAUUUUGUUUCUUAGCUGUUAGCCCGAGGUUUCGUGGGCAUAGCUUGCGGCUACAUGGGUCUUCUCCGUGCCGGAACCGAAGAGGACGGGCCACAUGUGCGGGGUGGCGGCGCAUAUAGCUUCAGACUUGGCGAAUUGCGGGCAGGCUAGCUGACAGCCGUCCUCUUUCGACUGCGUCAGGGACAUGGACCCUUCCCAAGUGCCUUGCGACCCGACCCCACUUUUUCGUGACAAGGUAGCCCGGGCGCGUCAGGGCUAUCGAGCGAAAUGUGGAAUCACGGAAGCAAAUCGCAUUCGGAAAUUGACUCGCCAGCUUUACUAAUCCUGUUAAUGCAGCCCUCGACGCCGGAUGUCGCCUGCGGUGUUCAUCGGAGCACGGCCGGGCAGAAGCUACAGUAAGCGUCCCGUACCGCGGCCUACCGUGUUUCCGUGUUGGUAUGGUCUAGUGGUCCUGCACUACUACGGGGUCCCGAGGUCCGCUUUCGAGAUUGCGGACCACGAGUAGUACCACGAGUGUUACUGUCCUUGCUACGUUCCAGAGUACAACUCGUACCGUGGUCUAGUGUUCCCUCACCACUGGGGUCUCGCUGGUAGGCGAGACCUUGGUCAUCUCCAUGCACUACUACGUGAUUUUGACAUCUGCUUUCGAUGGUGGCCUACGAGUGGAAAGGAUAUCCAGCGUGCUGCUUCACAUUUGCCAUCCUCCCAACGUCCCCCACAGGAGAUGACCUUGAGCACCACUCGUAUACUGUGGCUGACCGCGUUGGCUUCAUUGAAAUUCCACACCCAUGAUGUCCUGCUGGCAGCCGUGACUUCGUUUGGAGCCUUGCUAC